GGUAGCAGUCGUCGGCGACGGGGACCUCCAUCUCCUGGGCUUCAUCAUCUGGUCGCAGCAAACGGAUCAAGGGAACAAGGGGGGAGCAAAGCAGCGGUGAGUACUCAUCCAAAGUACUCGCAAGUCUUACAUCAGAACUAUUCUAAUAAUGCAUCAGUAUCAAAGAAGGGGGUUAUAUGUGGACUGACUGCAGCAAUGCGAGAAAAGAGAGAGAAUGCCUAGUCCUAUCGAAGACUAGCAUCUUCAGGGUCUUGCAGCAAUAGACGAGAGUAGAACAGGGGGGUAACACAUUAAUAGUCAUAUUGUUGCAGCAAUAUUAAAGUGAGGUCACGCCUGAAGAUCCUCCCUCGACUCCCUGCGAGGAAGCAAUCCCGAGGCAAACUAAUUCCAGUUAAGUAACAAUUGUAGUUGUAUAAGAUCGGGGCACAACUCCAAGUCGUCCUGUAACCGUGGACACGGCUAUCCGAAUAGUUAAUUUCAUCCCUGCAGGGGUGCACCACAUGUCCCGUCACGCUCGAUAACACUCUGGCCGGACAUACUUUUCUGGGUCCUGCCCGGCCUCGGAAUAUCGACACGUCGCAGCCCCACCUAAGACUAAUCAGAGAGGCCAGCCCGCCGGUCUAAAUCCUAAGCACAAAGGGUUCAUGGGCCCAGUUCCCCUUCACGCUCCUGCACGUGGCGUGGGCGGCCGACGUCAGUCCUAGCAUCCCUUAAUCACAAGCGCGAUGCAUCUCGGGACCACUCGGGCGCGCGCCGCUACACUGCUGGCAUCUGAAAAGCUUCGGCUGAUACCGCGACGCCGAGUACCCAUAAUUCUUCCCGCGUAGCCGGUUAGUGCGAAAAGGUCUCCGACCAACCCAGAUCAAAUACCCAAAUCCAUUAGCAUUUUAAUUAGGCCAACAACACAGUCUCGCGGGAAUCCACCCGUCUUUCAACUAAUCACCGAAGAUCCCAGUAACAUGGUCGAGUAACUGUGUGGUUGUAACAUCGGGGGAAUCCGAGGUAUCACCCUCGUUGGAUUCCGAACGAUGUACCCGUCAAGGUGGGCUUCGAGGAAUCACCCUCGGGGGUCCCACACCCGCGGGGUGGCACGACAGAGACGUCAUCGGGAAUGGUGAAAGAGGAAUCACCCUCGAUAACCACGACCGACUAGCUAUACUACAGAGAUAUCAUCAGGAGUACUUAGCGAGGUGUCACCCUCGGUACCCGAUAGUAUCUCUGUAGCGUCGUACAACAAGGGGGGGUGAAUGUGCUGUGUCGGGUCUGGCUCGUCGAUCAAAGAUCGAGAAAUGAAAACAAGCGGGGCAACUGAGCUACGGGGUCAGAGGGGAUGACUGCUCCACCUAUACUAAGCAUAUUAAAGGUACAGGACUGAAAGUAGCAGUUCAUCAAAAACAGGCUAUGCAUCAGAUAUAGGAGCUAACUACAACAGUAGCAAAAUACUAAUGCAAGCAGUAGGAAGAAAGACAUAGGCGAUAUAGGAAUGAUCAAGAGGGGGUUUGCUUGCCUUGCUGCUCUGCGGCAAAGGACUGAUCGGCAGGGUCGUAGAUGUACCCGGCAGCAGCGUCAGUCUCGGGGUCUACCGGUAAGAAGAGGGGGAAGAAACAAUAAAUAAUAGCACCGAUGCAACACAAAGCAUGACAUGGAAAAAUGCAGGCUAGACAUGAGCUAACGCAGCAACAUCCGUCAUAGACGGGUCGGAAGAAUAUCUGACGAUAUUUUCCGGGUCUCGGGCUACUACCGGUUACACUGGAAACGAUGGAAAAGUUCCAUGUUUGCUAUGCUAGGGACGCAUGACAGACGAACGGGCCGUGUAUCCGGGUUCGUCUCGUUUUGCUGAUCAACUUUCAUGUUGAAAUUAUUUUGAUCUGACUUACGGAUUAUUUAAUAUUAAUUUUUAAAGUUUUAUUAAUUAUUUAAGAAUUAAAAACAGAUUUAAAAGAUUUAGUAAAAUCCUAUUAUGACAUCAUCGCGAUGUCAGGCUGACAUCACAUUUGACCGGUCAACUGACCAGCGGGUCCCGAACGUCAUAGGCACAAGUUUUUAUUAAGAUUAAUUAUUUAUUAAUCAGAUUAAUUCAACGAGGGACCCACGUGUCAUACUCUAAUUAUGUUAAUUAAUUAUUUUAACUAAUAUAUCUAUUUAUUUAUUUAUUUAAGAAAAACAUUAUUUUUAAUUAUCGCGUGGGGCCUCCCUGUCAUUGACAGCGGUGCAUUGGCCCCACCGGUAAGUGGCCUAAAGCUAAUUUCUCAUUUAUUUUUAUUAGAUACCUAUCCGUGCAAAUACCGUAUUUCUCUAAAUAUCCAAAUACACAAAUACAUACAUCACAUCUCAUACAUACAUACGGAAUACAACCUUUGUUUUUUUUUCUUUUUUUUUUCUUCAAAAACUCUCAUCUCUCAUCUCUGUGUUUAACAGAGACAGAGAAGUUCUUUUGCUACUCCACCUAGAAGAACACAAACUUCGAAUCCUUCUACCGGAGUCCACCGUCGACGGAUCGAGGCCCCGUUUGCCGGAACGGAACCGUGACGCCGAGGGGAACGACAAGGUGGGAGGAGCCCGAGGAGGGGCUCACCGACGGUGACGUGACGGCCCGGUGAAGCCGGAGUUCGCACGUAGAAGACGGUGGAGACGGGUGUGGAGGCGGUGACGGUGACGGUGGUGGUGACGUGCCGGCGAGGAGGAGCCGGUGAGGAGGGCCCCGGUGAGGAGAGGCCCCCGGAGGUGGAGCCGCCGACGGGGAGGGGCGGCCACCGUAGAGAGGGCCGCCGGAGAGGGACCUCCCGGAAGGGGCCGGCCGCCGAGAU
rnacentral:lncRNA from 1 species